rnacentral:rRNA from 1 species
CCUACGGGUGGCAGCAGUGGGGAAUAUUGGGCAAUGGAGGAAACUCUGACCCAGCAAAGCCGCGUGAAUGAUGAAGGUCUUAGGAUUGGAAAGUUCUUUUCUAAGGGAAGUAGAAAGUGACGGUACCUUAGGAAUAAGCCUCGGCUAACUACGUGCAAGAAGCCGCGGUAAUACGGAGGAGGCGAGCGUUAUCCGGAAUGAAUGGGCGUAAAGGGUGCGUAGGUGGUUUGGCAAGUUAGUAGCGUAACUCUACGGCUCAACCUUGGAACUACUACUAAAACUGUUGGACUUGAGUGCAGGUGGGGCAACCGGAAUUCCUGGUGUAGCGGUGGAAUGCGUAGAUAUUAGGAGGAACACCAGUUGCGAAGGCAGGUUGCUAGACUGUAACUGACACUGAGGCACGAAAGUGUGGGGAGCAAACAGGAUUAGAUACCCGAGUAGUC